GGGAGUGUUGAGAUAUGUUGAGAUCAUUAACCUGAUUUCCUCCUAAUUAGGCUGUGAUUAUGUAAUUAGGAAUUAGGAUCCGUAUAAUUAUGAUAGCUUCUUAUUUUUGCAUUUAUUGUAACCAUAUAUAUACAGAUCAAAACUAGAAGGAAUGAAUCAAGCUAUUCUUCGCAAAUAUCUCUCUUCUCUCUCUUUUCACAGUUAUUUCAUGCAACAAAGCAACAGAACUUACAGGCAAAGCUUUUAUAUAUUCCAA
rnacentral:misc_RNA from 1 species